rnacentral:ncRNA from 2 species
CUCUUAUCAAGAGAGGCUGAGGGACAGGCCCUGUGAAGCCCGGCAACCCGUUCUAUGUUUAUAGAAAAAGGUGCUAAAUCCUGCAAAACAGUUUCGUUUUGAAAGAUGAGAG